UACGGGGGGGAGCAAGCGUUGUUCGGAUUUACUGGGCGUAAAGGGCGCGUAGGCGGUCGUGACAAGUCACUUGUGAAAUCUCCGGGGCUUAACUCGGAACGGUCAAGUGAUACUGUCGGACUAGAGUACAGAAGGGGCAACUGGAAUUCUCGGUGUAGCGGUGAAAUGCGUAGAUAUCGAGAGGAACACCUGCGGCGAAGGCGGGUUGCUGGGCCGACACUGACGCUGAGGCGCGAAGGCCAGGGGAGCAAACGGG
rnacentral:rRNA from 1 species